rnacentral:rRNA from 1 species
GACGAACGCUGGCGGCGUGCUUAACACAUGCAAGUCGAACGGAAAGGCCCUGCUUUCGUGGGGUGCUCGAGUGGCGAACGGGUGAGUAACAUGUGAGUAACCUGCGCUUGACUUUGGGAUAACUUCAGGAAACUGGGGCUAAUACCGGCUAGGAGCUCCUGCUGCAUGGUGGGGGUUGGAAAGUUUCGGCGGUUGGGGAUGGACUUGCGGCUUAUCAGCUGGUUGGUGGGGUAGUGGCUUACCAGGGCUUUGACGGGUAGCCGGCCUGAGAGGGUGACCGGCCUCAUUGGGACUGAGAUACGGCCCAGACUGCUACGGGAGGCAGCGGUGGGAAGUAUUACACAAUGGGCGGAAGCCUGAUGCAGCAGCGCCGCGUGCGGGAUGACGGCCUUCGGGUGGUAAACCGCUUUCGCCUGUGACGAAGCGUGAGUGACGGUAAUGGGUAAAGAAGCACCGGCUAACUACGUG